UACGUAGGGACCGAGCGUUGUCCGGAUUCAUUGGGCGUAAAGAGCGUGUAGGCGGCCAGGUAGGUCGGUUGUGAAAACUCGAGGCUCAACCUCGAGAUGUCGACCGAAACCAUCUGGCUAGAGUCCGGAAGAGGAGAAUGGAAUUCCCGGUGUAGCGGUGAAAUGCGCAGAUAUCGGGAAGAACACCGAUGGCGAAGGCAGUUCUCUGGGACGGUACUGACGCUGAGACGCGAAAGCGUGGGGAGCGAACAGG
rnacentral:rRNA from 1 species